rnacentral:sRNA from 1 species
UUCUGCUGGCAGGGGCGGAGAUUGGUAGCCAGCUGUGGGAUCCUGGUAAAUGAGGAAUGGUCUGGUCGCCUGUGGACCGUCUCGGGCAGGCACAGUCCAGCCUACUGGGCCUAAAUAUGGGAUCCUGAGUGUUAAUAUUCGAUCUCCGGUGUGGAUAUGCGUAUAGCUUUGUGUGGGUUCGCAUGGUUCUCCUUCAUGCGUGCAGCGCCUGAAGUCUGUUUCCACAUCCGACCCGGAUUGAUUAGACCCGCAUUGUUCAUGUAUGCGAAGAUGCUGCGAGUUUUCAUUAUUUCUUUUCGUGUUCUGGGA